rnacentral:lncRNA from 1 species
GCUGCACCCACUUUGAGAAAGGGGAAGAAGUAGGCAAAGAGGUUUGGCUUUGGUCUUUCUUACCUAGCUCGGCGAGGAGCUGUUCUCUCAAUUUCUUCAACUUUUGGUCCACCUUCUCGUCUUCUGGGCUGGGUUUUUUCUCCAGGUGGUACUCCUCCUCCUCUGCUUCAGUUCCCGUCCACCCGGUUAUUUCGGCGGAAUAGUUAUCCACCUCCUCAUUUUCUAUCAUCUCUCUCGCCCUCCUCGCAUGGAUUCGGGCCUCCGGUCCUUCCUCUUCGCCGGCUUUUCUUCCUCUUUCUUCAGUAUCGCGGCUGCUGGUUGGAAGACGGUCAGGUGCAGGUCGGGGGUCAUUGGUCUGAGGUUCC